rnacentral:rRNA from 1 species
GACGAACGCUGGCGGCGUGCUUAACACAUGCAAGUCGAACGGAAAGGCCCAGCUUGCUGGGUGCUCGAGUGGCGAACGGGUGAGUAACACGUGGGUGAUCUGCCCCUAACUUCGGGAUAAGCUUGGGAAACUGGGUCUAAUACCGGAUAGGACAAUCGUUUAGUGUCGGUUGUGGAAAGUUUUUUCGGUUAGGGAUGAGCCCGCGGCCUAUCAGCUUGUUGUGGGGUAAUGGCCUACCAAGGCGUCGACGGGUAGCCGGCCUGAGAGGGUGGACGGCCACAUUGGGACUGAGAUACGGCCCAGACUCCUACGGGAGGCAGCAGUGGGGAAUAUUGCACAAUGGGCGCAAGCCUGAUGCAGCGACGCCGCGUGGGGGAUGACGGCCUUCGGGUUGUAAACCUCUUUCGACAGGGACGAAGCUUUGGUGACGGUACCUGUAUAAGAAGCACCGGCUAACUACGUG